CAUGUAUGCAAAGCUAGAUAGAUAGUAUGCAGAUGCACGAGACGCGUCUGUAUAAACUACACCCAUCUGAUGUUGGUAUCUGAGGAAAUAAUUAGACCGGCAAGCUUCCUGCCAAGUUGAUUCACAAUCAAAUUAUGCAUCCCAGUGUCAACACUUCAUUUGAUUACGUAGAGCACUCAAGUCUCGCACUUAAAAUCUGCUUUUGCUGCAGAGAGCUACAAUGCUUGGAUGUCGACCGUGGCAGUGAAUCCAAUUGACUUGCAUGGGAGCAUAAGUUGAAACAUCAAACAGAAAGGAAAUUCUUUUUGUCUUGAAAUGCAAUAUUUUCAUGGAGUUCAGAGUAGCAGGGUCUUCAGUGAAAGACAGAGCGUCAACACUCUUCACAAUGUAUGCAACGCUCCUUCCUAAUAUGAGAAGAAAAAGGAUGUGUGGCGUGAACAGGUUGUUGCAUAACUGAGGGCAAUUCAGCACAUGAUUUAUAGAGCAGAAAAGAGCAGCUCUGCUCCAGCCAGCAAUAGGUUAAACAUCUGAUGGAUUCAUCACAAACCUUGCAUGGACCAUCCUUCAUAUGACAGUUCCAGCAGCAGAGGAUGAUCGUGCAGGGAAGAAGGAAGAGGCAAUCAAGACAACCAUAGACCUCGCCCGGUAUGUUCUCUUCACAAGCUUUGCACCUGAUUCUGCUUUUGAGUUUCAUGUAGAAGACCAGUGAAUGCUGAUGGUCAAAAUUGUAAAACACCAAGUCCUUCUUGCCCUCUAGGUCUUGUGAACAUAGAGUUAAAGCUGUGCAGUCCAUGUUGAGGCUGAAUUUGCAUUCACUGCAGUAGGAAACCAUGGCAGGCGUUACUUUUAGCUCCUCCAAGUGAUUGAAAGCAAAAGAGAGAGAGAGGGUGAUCAUGGAGAGACGGGUGUUGCAUCUCUGGGGGAGAUUCAGUGCAGCUUUUGUGGAGAAAGAAUAUGCAUGCAUAGCAUCCAUAGACCUCCCCCAAGAUUGCUUGCUCCCAGGCUUUGCAUUUGAUUCUAUUUUUCAUCCCGAGAUGAUGGGAUGUGAGCAGAUGCUCAUGAGCAUUUGUUGGAUGGCCAAAUUCUGAGAGUCCUCAUUGGGAGGACAAGCAAUCUUGGGUCAUGCACUAAGAAUUGACGGAUCCGACUGUUAGGAGAAGGUUGUCAUAUAUAAAUGCAAAAUAUUGAUUGAUAUAUAUAUAUAUAUCACUACACUAGUGAAGUCACGUAUUUCCUUGUGACCAAGUUAGUUAGGAAUAUGGACGAGCCUUGAUAAGCCAUUCCCUCUUGGGUCCAUCCAUCGAUCACGUCUUACUUCUACCAUAUUAGACUUAGUGUUCCAGACAAUUGAGUGACUAAGUUUGUAAGGAAAUAAAAUGAUAGCGCAGCUUCAAGAUGAGUAUUUAUAUACCUCUUAGUGAUUAUAGAGUGCUCAAAACGAGCAAUUUCUCAAGAACAGAUCAGAGAAGGCAUAUAACCUUGGAGCAUAAUCACAUAUGUCAUUAUUUGAAGAGCUAAAGAGAAAUAUGCAAUGUGAUUUGAGGACUGAACCGAUGAUUUAGAUGUAGAUGGUAAUAAAUUCUUCUCUGACUCUGAAGGUUAGCCAUUUUGUA